rnacentral:rRNA from 1 species
ACGGGUGAGUAAUACAUCGGAACGUAUCCUGGAGUGGGGGAUAGCCCGGCGAAAGCCGGAUUAAUACCGCAUACGCUCUGAGGAGGAAAGCGGGGGACCUUCGGGCCUCGCGCUCAAGGGGCGGCCGAUGGCGGAUUAGGUAGUUGGUGGGGUAAAGGCCUACCAAGCCGACGAUCCGUAGCUGGUCUGAGAGGACGACCAGCCACACUGGGACUGAGACACGGCCCAGACUCCUACGGGAGGCAGCAGUGGGGAAUUUUGGACAAUGGGGGCAACCCUGAUCCAGCAAUGCCGCGUGUGUGAAGAAGGCCUUCGGGUUGUAAAGCACUUUUGUCCGGAAAGAAAUCAUCGGGGCCAAUACCCCUGGUGGAUGACGGUACCGGAAGAAUAAGCACCGGCUAACUACGUGCCAGCAGCCGCGGUAAUACGUAGGGUGCGAGCGUUAAUCGGAAUUACUGGGCGUAAAGCGUGCGCAGGCGGUGCUGUAAGACCGAUGUGAAAUCCCCGGGCUUAACCUGGGGAACUGCAUUGGUGACUGCAGCGCUGGAGUAUGGCAGAGGGGGGUGGAAUUCCACGU